CCAACAAACCGAGGAAACCCAACUGAGCCCAAAAAACAAGCACCCCAAAAAGCAAGGAAACCAGACAAAAGUAAAAAAACCACCCAACUGAACCUAACCCAAGAAGCGGAUCAAAGCCCGAAAGAGAACCUAAAAUCCUUCCACUGAGUGAACACAUGGCAACAAAAGAAUAACUUUUUUGAUAAAAAAAUUGAACCAAAUGGA
rnacentral:lncRNA from 1 species